rnacentral:rRNA from 1 species
AGAUUGAACGCUAGCGGGAUGCUUUACACAUGCAAGUCGAACGGCAGCGCGGACUUCGGUCUGGCGGCGAGUGGCGAACGGGUGAGUAAUAUAUCGGAACGUGCCCAGUAGCGGGGGAUAACUACGCGAAAGCGUGGCUAAUACCGCAUACGCCCUACGGGGGAAAGGGGGGGAUCGCGAACGACCUCUCACUAGUUGGAGGCGGCCGAUAUCAGAUUAGCUUAGGUUGGUGAAGGUAAACGGCUCCACCAAAGGCCGACGAUCUGUAGCGUUGGUUGAGAGGACCGACAGCCACACGUGGACUGGAGACCGACCGGACCCAGACCUCCCGUACGGGAGGCGAGCGAGG